rnacentral:rRNA from 1 species
GACGAACGCUGGCGGCGUGCUUAACACAUGCAAGUCGAACGGAAAGGCCCUGCUUUUGUGGGGUGCUCGAGUGGCGAACGGGUGAGCAACACGUGAGUAACCUGCCCUUGACUUUGGGAUAACUUCAGGAAACUGGGGCUAAUACCGGAUAGGAGCUCCUGCUGCAUGGUGGGGGUUGGAAAGUUUCGGCGGUUGGGGAUGGACUCGCGGCUUAUCAGCUUGUUGGUGGGGUAGUGGCUUACCAAGGCUUUGACGGGUAGCCGGCCUGAGGGGGUGACCGGCCACAUUGGGACUGAGAUACGGCCCAGACUCCUACGGGAGGCAGCAGUGGGGAAUAUUGCACAAUGGGCGGAAGCCUGAUGCAGCAACGCCGCGUGCGGGAUGACGGCCUUCGGGUUGUAAACCGCUUUCGCCUGUGACGAAGCGUGAGUGACGGUAAUGGGUAAAGAAGCACCGGCUAACUACGUGCCAGCAGCCGCGGUGAUACGUAGGGUGCGAGCGUUGUCCGGAUUUAUUGGGCGUAAAGGGCUCGUAGGUGGUUGAUCGCGUCGGAAGUGUAAUCUUGGGGCUUAACCCUGAGCGUGCUUUCGAUACGGGUUGACUUGAGGAAGGUAGGGGAGAAUGGAAUUCCUGGUGGAGCGGUGGAAUGCGCAGAUAUCAGGAGGAACACCAGUGGCGAAGGCGGUUCUCUGGGCCUUUCCUGACGCUGAGGAGCGAAAGCGUGGGGAGCGAACAGGCUUAGAUACCCUGGUAGUCCACGCUGUAAACGGUGGGUACUAGGUGUGGGGUCCAUUCCACGGGUUCCGUGCCGUAGCUAACGCUUUAAGUACCCCGCCUGGGGAGUACGGCCGCAAGGCUAAAACUCAAAGGAAUUGACGGGGCCCCGCACAAGCGGCGGAGCAUGCGGAUUAAUUCGAUGCAACGCGUAGAACCUUACCUGGGUUUGACAUGGAUCGGGAGUGCUCAGAGAUGGGUGUGCCUCUUUUGGGGUCGGUUCACAGGUGGUGCAUGGCUGUCGUCAGCUCGUGUCGUGAGAUGUUGGGUUAAGUCCCGCAACGAGCGCAACCCUUGUUCACUGUUGCCAGCACGUUAUGGUGGGGACUCAGUGGAGACCGCCGGGGUCAACUCGGAGGAAGGUGGGGAUGACGUCAAGUCAUCAUGCCCCUUAUGUCCAGGGCUUCACGCAUGCUACAAUGGCUGGUACAGAGAGUGGCGAGCCUGUGAGGGUGAGCGAAUCUCGGAAAGCCGGUCUCAGUUCGGAUUGGGGUCUGCAACUCGACCUCAUGAAGUCGGAGUCGCUAGUAAUCGCAGAUCAGCAACGCUGCGGUGAAUACGUUCCCGGG